AGAAACUUAGGACUAUUUAAACCCAGGGCCUUCAAAGCCCUUAAAAAGAGACAGCCUCUUAGUUUCU
rnacentral:tRNA from 1 species